rnacentral:rRNA from 1 species
CCUACGGGUGGCAGCAGUGAGGAAUAUUGGUCAAUGGGCGUAAGCCUGAACCAGCCAAGUCGCGUGAGGGAUGAAGGUUCUAUGGAUCGUAAACCUCUUUUAUAAGGGAAUAAAGUGCGGGACGUGUCCCGUUUUGUAUGUACCUUAUGAAUAAGGAUCGGCUAACUUCGUGCCAGCAGCCGCGGUAAUACGGAGGAUCCGAGCGUUGUCCGGAUUUAUUGGGUUUAAAGGGUGCGUAGGCGGCCUUUUAAGUCAGCGGGGAAAGUCUGUGGCUCAACCAUAGAAUUGCUGUUGAAACUGGGAGGCUUGAGUAUGUUUGAGGCAGGCGGAAUGCGUGGUGUAGCGGUGAAAUGCUUAGAUAUCACGCAGAACCCCGAUUGCGAAGGCAGCCUGCCAAGCCAUGACUGACGCUGAUGCACGAAAGCGUGGGGAUCAAACAGGAUUAGAUACCCGUGUAGUC